rnacentral:rRNA from 11 species
AAAUUGAAGAGUUUGAUCAUGGCUCAGAUUGAACGCUGGCGGCAGGCCUAACACAUGCAAGUCGAGCGGAAACGAGUUAUCUGAACCUUCGGGGAACGAUAACGGCGUCGAGCGGCGGACGGGUGAGUAAUGCCUAGGAAAUUGCCCUGAUGUGGGGGAUAACCAUUGGAAACGAUGGCUAAUACCGCAUGAUGCCUACGGGCCAAAGAGGGGGACCUUCGGGCCUCUCGCGUCAGGAUAUGCCUAGGUGGGAUUAGCUAGUUGGUGAGGUAAGGGCUCACCAAGGCGACGAUCCCUAGCUGGUCUGAGAGGAUGAUCAGCCACACUGGAACUGAGACACGGUCCAGACUCCUACGGGAGGCAGCAGUGGGGAAUAUUGCACAAUGGGCGCAAGCCUGAUGCAGCCAUGCCGCGUGUGUGAAGAAGGCCUUCGGGUUGUAAAGCACUUUCAGUCGUGAGGAAGGUAGUGUAGUUAAUAGCUGCAUUAUUUGACGUUAGCGACAGAAGAAGCACCGGCUAACUCCGUGCCAGCAGCCGCGGUAAUACGGAGGGUGCGAGCGUUAAUCGGAAUUACUGGGCGUAAAGCGCAUGCAGGUGGUUUGUUAAGUCAGAUGUGAAAGCCCGGGGCUCAACCUCGGAAUAGCAUUUGAAACUGGCAGACUAGAGUACUGUAGAGGGGGGUAGAAUUUCAGGUGUAGCGGUGAAAUGCGUAGAGAUCUGAAGGAAUACCGGUGGCGAAGGCGGCCCCCUGGACAGAUACUGACACUCAGAUGCGAAAGCGUGGGGAGCAAACAGGAUUAGAUACCCUGGUAGUCCACGCCGUAAACGAUGUCUACUUGGAGGUUGUGGCCUUGAGCCGUGGCUUUCGGAGCUAACGCGUUAAGUAGACCGCCUGGGGAGUACGGUCGCAAGAUUAAAACUCAAAUGAAUUGACGGGGGCCCGCACAAGCGGUGGAGCAUGUGGUUUAAUUCGAUGCAACGCGAAGAACCUUACCUACUCUUGACAUCCAGAGAACUUUCCAGAGAUGGAUUGGUGCCUUCGGGAACUCUGAGACAGGUGCUGCAUGGCUGUCGUCAGCUCGUGUUGUGAAAUGUUGGGUUAAGUCCCGCAACGAGCGCAACCCUUAUCCUUGUUUGCCAGCGAGUAAUGUCGGGAACUCCAGGGAGACUGCCGGUGAUAAACCGGAGGAAGGUGGGGACGACGUCAAGUCAUCAUGGCCCUUACGAGUAGGGCUACACACGUGCUACAAUGGCGCAUACAGAGGGCGGCCAACUUGCGAAAGUGAGCGAAUCCCAAAAAGUGCGUCGUAGUCCGGAUUGGAGUCUGCAACUCGACUCCAUGAAGUCGGAAUCGCUAGUAAUCGUGGAUCAGAAUGCCACGGUGAAUACGUUCCCGGGCCUUGUACACACCGCCCGUCACACCAUGGGAGUGGGCUGCAAAAGAAGUAGGUAGUUUAACCUUCGGGGGGACGCUUACCACUUUGUGGUUCAUGACUGGGGUGAAGUCGUAACAAGGUAGCGCUAGGGGAACCUGGCGCUGGAUCACCUCCUUA